rnacentral:lncRNA from 1 species
AAUUAGUGAAAUUGAAAUAAAACUUAUAAAACAUAAAUGUAUGACUAUAAUUGUAGGAAUAAUGUACGUUGAGCACAUCAAUUAAUAACUUAAGAAAAAUAUAUUAUACGAUAUUAUAUUAUAAUAAUUUAGCAAACUCGAAAUAAAAAAUAAAAAAAUGACCAUAAUUAUGAUAAUAAUAUCAUACGUUGAGCACAUCGAUUAGUUAUUCAAUUAAAUUAUAUUAUAAAUAAAUUUAACGAACUCAAAAUUUAAAAUAAAAAAGAAUUGCUAUGAUUGUGAAAAUAAAAAGAUAAAAAUAUCGAAAAGAAAAAAUAAAAAGAUCACUAAUUGAAUACCCU